AAACCAAAUGGGGUCCAGCAGAACAUGCCACCCUCAAGAUGAGAGACACAAGCCUUGCUGGCUUUGCUGUCUGCUGAUUGUAAAGCCCUAGGGCCAUGAGCAAAUAGAGGCAGUAGCCAGGUAGUGGUUACAGCAGGCUUGAGUGAGACCCAGUGCUCUGCUGGCUUUAGGUCUGACUCAGUGCAAUCCCAAUUGUAGUGGCCACAGGGGUGCUUGUGUCACUUCACCCCCAGUUCCAGGCGGCUCAGAACACAAAGAUAAAUUCCAUUUCCUCUGGAAAAGGUAAAAGAAAAGAACAAGAGUCUCUGCCUGGUAAUCAAAAGAAUUCUUCUGCAUCUUAUCCAAGACCAUCAAGGUGGUACCUCUAUGAGUCUGCAAGAACCACAGUGUUACUGGGAUUGAGAUGCCUCCUAAUAAAGAUAUGGCUUAUAUCACAACACCCAAGUUCUUUCUAAUACAUGGAAAUCCUUCCUAAGAAGGACAGGUACAAACAAGGCCAGAUUGUAAAGACUGCACUAAAUCCUAACUCUUCGAUUUCAAGACAGAGAUGAACAUCCACAAGCAUUAAGAACAUUCAGGAAAAUAUGACAUCACCAAAUGAACUAAAUAAGACACCAGGGACCAAUCCUGGAGAAACAGAGAUAUGUGACCUUUCAGACAGAAAAUUUAAAAUAGCUGUGUUAAGAAAAUGCAAAGAAAUUCAAGAUAACGCAAAGAAGAAAUUCAGAAUUCUAUCAGAUAAAUUGAAAAAGGAGAUUAAAAUAAUUAAAAAGAAUUAAGCAGAAAUUCUGGAGUUAGAACAUACAAUUCACAGGCUGAAGAAUGCAUCAGUCUUUUAAUAGCAGAAUUGAUUAAGUAGAAGAAAGAAUUAGUGAGCUUAAAGGCAGACUAUUUGAAAACACAGUCAGAAGAGAGAAAAGAAAAAAGAAUAAAAAACAAAGAAGCAAGCCUACAAGAUUGAAAAAAAAUAGCCUCAAAUGGCAAAUCUAAGAGUUAUUGGCCUUAAAAUGAAGGUAGAGAUAGGGUAGAAAGUUUAUUCAAAGCGAUAAUAACACAGAAUGUCCCAAACCUAGAGAAAGAUAUCAAUAUCCAAAUACAAGAAGGUUAUAGAAUAAGUAGAUUUAAUCCAAAGAAGCCUACCUCAAGGCAUUUAAUAAUCAAACUCUCAAAGGUCAAAGAUAAAGAAAGGACCUUAAAAGCAACAAGAGAAAAGAAACUAAUAACAUACACUACAGCUUGAAUAUGUCUGCCAGCCAUUUUUUUCAGUGGAAACUUCACAGGCCAGGAGAGAGUGGUAUGACACAUUCAAAAUGCUGAAGGAAACAGAAACUUAUAGAAAACCUAUUAUAUACUUUUACAGAAUAAUAUAUCCAGUGAAAAUAUCCUUCAAAUAUAAAGAAGUAGUGAAAACUUUCCCAGACAGACAAAAGCUGAGGGAUUUCAUCAGACCUUUCCUACAAGAAAUGCUAAAAGGAGUACUUCAAUUAGAAAAAAAAAAAAAAGGAUGUUAAUGAACAAUAAGAAAUCAACUGAAGGUACAAAGCUUACUGGUAAUAGUAAGUACACAAAAAACUAUAUAAUAUGAUAAAACUGUAGCUGUGGUAUGUAAACUAUUUUUAAAUAGAAAGACUAAAAGAUGAACCAAUCAAAAAUAAUAACUACAAAUUUUCAGGAAAUUGACAGUACAAUGAGAUAUAAAUAGAAACAAAAAAGUUGAAAAGUGGGGGUAAAGUUAUAGAGUUUUUAUUAGUUUUCUUUUUGCUUGUUUAUGAAAAGAGAAUUAAGUUGUUAUCAACUUAAAAUAAUGGAUUAUAAGAUAGUAUUUGCAAGCCUCAUGUAGCCUCAAAUCAAAAAACAUAAAAUGGACACACAAAAAAAUUAAAAGUUAAAAGUUAAAUCAUACCACCAGAAAAAAUAAUUGUCACUAAAAGGAAGACAAGAAGGAAGGAAAGAGAAAGAGAAAAAAACAACCAGAAAACAAAUAGCAAAAAGGCAAGAAUAAGUUCUCACUUAUCAUUAAUAACAUUGAAUGUAAAUGGACCAACCUCUCCAAUCAAAAGAAAUAGACUGGCUGAUUUGAUGAAAAUGCAAGAUCCAAUAAUCUGUUGCCUACAAGAAACACACUUCACCUAUAAAGACAAACAUAGACGGCCGGGCAUGGUGGCUCACACCUGUAAUCCCAGCACUUUCAGAGGCCGAGGUGGGUAGAUCACGAGGUCAGGAGAUUGAGACCAUCCUGGCUAACACAGUGAAACCCCGUCUCUACUAAAAAUACAAAAAAUUAGCCGGGUGUGGUGGCAGGCACCUGUAGUCCCAGCUACUUGGGAGGCUGAAGCAGGAGAAUGGCAUGAACCCAGGAGGCGGAGCUUGCAGUGAGCCAAGACCACACCACUGCACUCCAGCCUCGUCAACAGAGCAAGACUCUAUCUUAAAAAAAAAAAAAAAAAAAAAAAGACACAAAUAGACUGAAAAUAAAGGACUAGAAAAUGAUAUUCCAUACCAAUGAAAAUCAAAAAAGAACAGAAGUGCCUAUACUUAUGUCAACAACAUAGAUUUCAAAAAAAAAAAAACUACAAGAAGAGACAAGCAAGGUCACUAUAUAAUGAUAAAGGGGUCAAUUCAGCAAGAAGAUAUAACAAUUUUAAAUAUAUAUGCACCCAACACUGGAGCAUUCAGAUAUAUAAAGAAAAUAUUAUUAGGGCUAAGGAGAUAGAUAGACUCCAAUAUUAGCUGAAGACUUCAACACCCCACUUUCAGCAUUGGACAGAUCCUCCAGACAGAAAACCAACGAAGAAACAUCUGACUUAAUCUGCACUAUACAGCAAUGGACCUAUUACAUAUUUACACAACAUUUCAUCCAACUGCUGCAGAAUAUACAUGCUUUUUCUCAGCAAAUGGAUCACUCUCAAGGACAGGCCAUAUGUUAGGUCACAAAACAAGCCUUAAAACGUUCAAAAAUUGAAAUUAUAUCAAGCAUCUUCUCUGACCACAAUGGAAUACAACUAGAAAUCAAGAAUGAGAGGAAUUUUGGAAACAAUACAGACAUAUGGAAAUUAAAAAAUAUGCUCCUGAAUGACCAAUAUGUCAAUGAAGAAAUUAAGAAGAAAAUUGAGGGGGAGGAGCCAAGAUGGCCGAAUAGGAACAGCUCCAGUCUACAGCUCCCAGCGUGAGCGACGCAGAAGACGGGUGAUUUCUGCAUUUCCAUCUGAGGUACCGGGUUCAUCUCACUAGGGAGUUCCAGAGAGUGGGCGCAGGACAGUGGGUGCG
rnacentral:lncRNA from 1 species